rnacentral:rRNA from 1 species
AACGAACGCUGGCGGCAUGCCUAACACAUGCAAGUCGAACGAGACCUUCGGGUCUAGUGGCGCACGGGUGCGUAACGCGUGGGAAUCUGCCCUUUGCUUCGGAAUAACAGUUAGAAAUGACUGCUAAUACCGGAUGAUGUCUUCGGACCAAAGAUUUAUCGGCAAAAGGAUGAGCCCGCGUAGGAUUAGGUAGUUGGUGGGGUAAAGGCCUACCAAGCCGACGAUCCUUAGCUGGUCUGAGAGGAUGAUCAGCCACACUGGGACUGAGACACGGCCCAGACUCCUACGGGAGGCAGCAGUGGGAAUAUUGGACAAUGGGCGCAAGCCUGAUCCAGCAAUGCCGCGUGAGUGAUGAAGGCCUUCGGUCGUAAAGCUCUUUUACCAGGGAUGAUAAUGACAGUACCUGGAGAAUAAGCUCCGGCUAACUCCGUGCCAGCAGCCGCG